UGGGAUUGAGUUCUGGGUUGGCCUUGGACAGGUUUUACCUAAGUUCUGCCAGCUCCACCACCUAACGGCUUGCGGUUGGCCAAACCACAGGGCUAAACAUUGGAAGAUUUUCCCUCUCUCCGAACCCCUCUUCCUAGAGUGGACCCAGGCUAAAGCCUGGUAAUAAUCCACAGGGUAAAAGAUGGGGUGGAGGUUUGUUUCAACAUAGUCAGAGACAGGAGCUUUACAAAAAGGCAGUCAUUCCCCACUGGGAAAAGACAAUAUUGAAAUAAGACGGCCUGGUAGGUGUUCUCCCUGUGAAACAGCUGCCCCGGCCCCGAGCCACCCAGUGCGGAGGCUGGUGGGGACUGAAUGAGUGACUGGCCACCUGACAACCUGCCAGGGGCUGAGAAGAAGAGGGUGGGAGAAGAGGGUGGGAGAAGAGGUGGGAGAAGGAGGAAGCCAAGCAGGAUGGAGGUGCUGGAAGCCAAGUCUGCAGCCUGCAACACCAGUGCUCAGCAAUACAUGAUCCCCCACAUAAAACCCAGAGCAGAGCGCUUGCUUUCCGGCUCCUCAGCUGUGAUUCAGCCUUGGACCUUGCAAUGAGACUCCAUCUGCCCUGGUGUUUUCCUGAGCUUAUCAGGGGCCUUAGGCUUCUGUUAUUCCUGCCACCUAUCUGUGAGUGAUAAAGUUGAUCUGGGUGACUUGUGCAACCCUUUUGUCUCACUGUUUUCCUUCUUGGGCAGCUGGAUUUAGGCAAAAACCUCCUGCCAGAUCUAGAAACCGGAGCAGAAGCUCUCAAGGCGUUGAGCCUCCUCAAGGAGGUGGUGCGAGGGCCCCAGGUGCGUGGCAUCCAUUCACACACAGUAGAUCCAUUCACACACAGUAGAUCCCAAUUAGAAAGGGACUCCCUGAAGUUGCAUGCAGGGUGCCUGGAGCUGGGAGGAGGGAGCGGAAGCUACAAUUUUCACUGCAGCUCCCAAUCUCCGUGGGCGAUGCCUGCUGUGGGCCUGAACUAAAAUAAAGAGGAAUAGUGUCCACGUUCCUGGACUCCAAGUGCCUUGCUUUACUUUACAGGAAAGCUGUUUAAAGGGGUUAUCUAGGGGUUGACCAAUUAGGU
rnacentral:lncRNA from 1 species